rnacentral:rRNA from 1 species
UGGCGGACGGGUGAGUUAACGCGUGGGGUAACCUGCCUUACACAGGGGAUAACACCUGGAAACAGGUGCUAAUACCGCAGUAAGCGCACAGGGUCCGCAUGGCCCGGUGUGAAAAACUCCGGUGGUGUAAGAUGGACCCGCGUCUGAUUAGCUUGUUGGCGGGGUAGGGGCCCACCAAGGCGACGAUCAGUAGCCGGCCUGAGAGGGUGGACGGCCACAUUGAGACUGAGACACGGCCAACUCCUACGGGAGGCAGCAG